CUCUGCUUUUCCCAGCUGCUUUCCUCUGCGGAUCCGAACGGGAGUCUUCGCCUUCACAGCGAGAUCACCACAUGUUCCCAUUCUUUCAUGUUAGAGGCAACCUCCUUUUAAGUGGAUAUUUAUAGUGCACAGCGUGCGGCACCAGCUGGGAGGCAUUACUCCAGAUCCAAGCGCUUCCACUCGGUCCAAAGAGCUAUUUGUGGCUUCAGCCCCCCUAAUGCCAUUCAUUAAGUUCAAGUUUAAUAAUCCUCACAUCGCUUCUACUUCUUCUUAAGUUUGUACUGGAAAAACAGUCUCAGCUUCCACUAACUCUCAUCCAUGUAACUAACGUGCUGGACAUAUAUAUUACACAUACAUGCAACAUGAAUGUGAUAUAUCAUUGUGCAAUUCAGUACAUACAAUUCCUGCCUCGGCGAAGCAAAACACGCUGCGGCCACCCCUCAGCACUGCCGGCUCUGCGGGGGGGAAACCCCCCGAGGGCACCGACCCUGGUAGUGGCGCGAGACAUGGAGCCAGCUGAGACCCUAUCUGCCACACCGCGAGCACGGGAGCGAAGCGCAGCGCAAAAAGGUGUUCCGCUUUCCGAGCUGCAGUUGUCUGCUUUUUAAACGUUGCUAGGGCAUUCACGUGGUUUCAGGCAGAGUGUGGAUUUUUUGGACGCAUCCUUGGAUCUGAGGCGUGUUCCCCUCUUUUCCAAGGCAAGGACAAAGCUGGUGCUUAGCUCUGCGCUUGUGUCCAGAGGCAGCAUUAUCCCUUCUGCUCCAAUAUUUCACUGCUAGCAAAGUCGAGGGACUGUGACCUUUGGAUGUUACUGCAAUAAAACCUCACAGCAGUGCCGCUACCAGACAGCUGCGUUGUCCGUGUGCAUCACCAAACUUUCUCGGCUCUUUCAAAAGAAGAAGAGGACGAGGUACCUGACCCCAGACAUGUCUGCAGCCAGAUGGCAAGCCACGGGGUUACCCAGAGAUGGAUGAGGACCCCUGUAUUGCGCCUGCAGCUGUACGAGCACAGCAGCAUCCCAGGACAAAAGCCCACUCCAGAUGCAAAGAGCCCAGGGUCUCAGCAUAAAGAGAAAGGAGAGGCGGAGGCAGCAAAAUAGCGCACGUAGGGAACUGGGGAGACAGCUUUCGUCAGGCAUAUUUAUAGCAAGAAACAGCAAGAACAAGUACGAGGCCAGCCUGUCUCUGCCCUGCCCCACCGGCAGUCGUUCCCACACUGCCCGAACACGGACACUGUGAAAUCCCGGCUUUUACAGCAGGGGCUUGGGCUCUGGAGCCUAACUCAGCAUGAUUUGUAUAUCCAGCACUAACUGGACUGAACGGCACAUUAUCUUCGAUACUAGAAAGCCCGAACCGCUGGGACCCCCAAAGCACAUUGCUGUCUUUAAGGCUUGCCAUCAAAAGCAAACAUUCACUACCACCUCCAGUCCUCAGCUCCGCAGGACGAUAGCAACGCGUGAAACCCUAAAGAGUGAGGAUAAGAAACUCAGGGGAAACAGCCUCUUUGGACUGAAGCGGCAGCGGACCGCAGAGUUGCAGUCUGAGGUUUCAGAUGCUCACUGCUGGAGAGAGGCCUCAGAAGCACCUUUUCCCACCAUUCAGCAAACACCUGAUCUCACGUGCGCCAGGGUCCCUGCACUAGCGUUGUGUACAGUUGUUUGAGCGCUCGUUGCUUCAGUUGCUAUGCAAUGCGUGUCCUUCCCCUGGCUAGGCUUGCUAGUUUACAUCAUUCCCCCCAAUUUGACUGAUCUCUGACGAGACCUAUUGCAAGAACGAAGAAUUCAGCGAAGAGGCAUGACUUAGAGAAGUCACGUGAACAGGGGGUUCUUUUUUUUUAAAGAAUCCUCUAGUGCUAGAUCCUUAAGUGCAGCAAAACACCAGAUAUAUUUUGGGUCUUUUAAAAUCAAAACAGGGUCUGUUCUAAUUUGUGGAAAUUAGUUUGUUCUCCUAUGGAAUUAACCUCUCUUCCCUUGAAACAUGCCUGGGGUAGAGAAGGAAGGCGGCGAGAUGUUAAACAUUUUUGUUAAGAGUGCAGGGGAAGUAUCCCAUAGCCAAUGGACACGCUGUUGUGCGAUGAUGAUCCAGAUGACAUCUUGUGAGCUAAGCUAUUGCCGAUGCACUGUUUUGAUUUAAUAGGGCACAAUCUGUUUAGCUGGAGCACUUGGCUUCUAGGUACGUGAGCCUGGGAAACAGCCGAAUGUUAGCUUCCACGUUCCUGCCUGCUUUCUAAGCUUGUCCGAAUGCUCAAGUACAUGCUUGAAGUUGCCUGUUCUUAUUCCAGAUGGCAUCUCAUUGGAAACAGUCAUGCCCAAUGUGUGUAAAUAGGCUGUGAUGUGCAGGAAUGUUUACUAGGCAGCUAUAGGUCAUUUGGCUCCUCAGGCUGCCGCUGAGG